rnacentral:rRNA from 1 species
CGCUGGCGGCGUGCCUAAUACAUGCAAGUCGAGCGGAUCGAUUCGGAGCUUGCUCCGAUGAAGUCAGCGGCGGACGGGUGAGUAACACGUGGGUAACCUGCCUGGCAGACUGGGAUAACGCUUGGAAACGAGUGCUAAUACCGGAUAAUCCCUUGGAUCGCAUGGUUCGAGAGUAAAGGAGCUUUUGCUUCACUGCCAGAUGGACCCGCGGCGCAUUAGCUAGUUGGUGAGGUAACGGCUCACCAAGGCGACGAUGCGUAGCCGACCUGAGAGGGUGACCGGCCACACUGGGACUGAGACACGGCCCAGACUCCUACGGGAGGCAGCAGUAGGGAAUCUUCCGCAAUGGGCGCAAGCCUGACGGAGCAACGCCGCGUGAGUGAUGAAGGCCUUUCCGGGUUGUAAAACUCUGUCUUCUGUGAAGAACCAUCCUGUGCAGAGAAAGCUCAGGACCUGACGGUAACAGAGGAGGAAGCCCCGGCUAACUACGUGCCAGCAGCUGC